GGCCCGGGGCGGGGCAAGGGAGGCCCCUCGAGUUGGCGAGGGGCGUGGGCCGUGACGUCACCGCGCCCUGACGUCGGGCAGACGUGUAGCACGGUCUCCCGGGAGACCGGGAAAGCCGUUCGCACUUGGAGUCGAGGUCUAGAGAGAUUUUCUGGGUUGGCAGUAUUUUCUUGAAUCAGAACCUGCCAAAUUUUCCUACUUGCUAUAUAAGAAGGACCCAAAGUUGGAAUACCUUUACAGAUAAAGAAGAUUAUUUUACUUCAGAACUCCCUCUGCAUAUUUUGAGAAAUUAUGGAUCGUCACAUCCCCAUGCACGCGUUACCUGAAGAAAUCCAAAAGAUGUCCCCUGAAGAAAAAGUUUGUAGGUACUGUGGAGUCAGCUAUCUAAUUCUUCACGAGUUUAAAGCUAUGGAAGAAAAAAUGAAAGCGAUGGAAAAAGAGAUGAAAUUUUAUCAAGGAAGUGUAGAUCGUGAAAAGAGGCUUCAAGAAAAGCUACGGUCUCUUAGUCAAGAUUUUGAACAGUACAAAAUUGACAAUGAAUCCAAAACAGAAAGAAUUUGGGAUGUAAGUAUGCAGUUAAAAAGUCAACAAAAUGAAUUGAAGAAAGUACAGAAAGAAUUGAGUCAUUUGCAACAUGAAUUAAAUAUUAAACAGAGACAAUCACAAGCAUUCAGGGAGCUAACCAGUAUUAAAAAUGAAGUAUAUGACAAUUUUCAAAACUGGACUUCACUGAAAGGAGAAGUUUUUCUACAAAUUAAAUCCAUAAGUGAAACAGCCUUGACAGAAAUAGAGAUACUAAAGAAAAGUUUGACAGUGUCCCAGAGAAAUAAGAUGUGCCUUGAAGAGGAAAUGAAAAAUCUGAAAUUGUUGUCAGAUGCAGCCAUACUGAGGUCUCAGCAGAUUCAGACAUCCCAACAACAGGAAGCAAACUUGCAAACCAGAUGCCAUGACUUGGAAAAAGAAGUACUAGGUUUACAAUGUCAAGUAGAGGCACUUGGUCUAAAACAUCAGAAGGCAGUGACAGAGAUUGACAACUAUAAAGAAAAGCUCAUGAAUAAAUCUAAUGAAGCUGAUGACUGUCAAAGAGAACUUAGAAAACUGAAGUUUGAAUCCAUUAUUUCUGAGUCACGGCAUACCAGAUUGCUUAAAGAGAAAGAGGAUUCUUUAAUGGCUUGUCAACAAAUAUAUAAAACUUUACAGGAAGAACUGACUGUGAAAGAAAGACAAGAAGAAGACAUAAAAAGAAGAAUUAACUUUGCAGAAAAUGAACUACAGAUAACCAAAACUCUUCUGCAUCAGACAAAGGAAGAGGUUGUAACGCUGAAAAGUGAAAGGGAAUUAAUGCUGAUUUCACAUCAGAAAAGCAUCGAGCAGCUGCAGGAAACCCUUAGACAGAAGCUGCUGAAUGAUGACAACUGGAGAGAGAAGAUUGAAGCUGAACUUGCCAAGGAAAGAGCCCAGCAUUUAGUUGAGUUUGAGGAGCAAGCUCUGCUUUUUAAAGCAGAAGCUAAACUGGAACUUGAUAUUGAAAAGGAAAAACAUCAAGAAAUAAUCUGUAAAUAUAAGAAAGAACAAGAGGAACUAAAAAUGAAGAUAUCUGAUUUAAUCGCAAGUGCUACUAGAGAUCUAAAGCUGGAAGUGGCCACCCUUGAAGAAAAACUCCAUGAAUCUUGUAUCCGACAUACUGAAGAUUCUGAAUCAAAGGAGAAAGAAAUUGAAAACCUUAAAAAUUUGGUUGCAGAAUUUAAAGCCCGCCUGAAGAAAGAAACUGACAGUAACGAUUCCAUUUCAGAGGACUUGAGGAAGGAAAUGAAGCUGAAGUCAGAUGAGCUAGAUAGAGUAAUGCUGGCACAAACACAACUGAUGCAGCAGUUUAACCAGUCCCAGGAACAGAACACUUUUCUUCAGGAAACAGUGCGCAGGGAGUGUGAAGAACGCUUUGAACUGACACAGGCUUUGAGCCAAGCCAGAGAACAGCUUCUGGAGCUCAGGAAGCUCAGUGGAAGUUUACCUUUGUCGCCGUGUUCCCUUAAACAGGGCAGCCUAACCUCCUCUGCUGCAGUGGUCAGCAGCCAAGGAGAGAGAAGCCUUACAAGACUGAACUCUGGAAAAGGAAUCAAAAUCCCCAGCCUGCAUGGAGUGUCAAAACCCACCACUGCCCCAACCUCAGUUCAACCCAAGAGGGUCAGCAGCUCAGGUACAUUCUUAACUCUCAAUGGCCCCCAGAUACCCAGAGUUUCUGCAACCAUCCCCACCCCUCCAGAAUUAGGACAGCUCUCGAAGGACACAGGGAAAGAUUCCUGGGAAGGCAAAUCCAACCAACCUCACCAGGUUCAAGCGCUUGCCCUGGGGCCAGGGAAAGGAAGGCACCUUGACUAAACAGCUUCCCAUGUGUGGGAGAGGUAAUUACCAGAGGUAAAUCAGGGCACAGCCAGCCCAAACCAAAAACUAUCUACCAUACCAUGUCACCUGGUGGGAAGGAACACCAAUACCUAACCUUGAACCCAAAUACAUUUCCCACCUCUGCCUUCCUACUCCACUCCACCCCACCAUACCGAAGUAGGAAUCUGUGGGAAUGACAAGAGACCCAGGGACUAUUAGACUUUGAUUAAGGGUCAAACGGGAAGUUGUAAGUAUGAGCCAUAAUGCAUGGUGCUUGAAGGCAGGAUGGAUAAAUAAUUAAAACAAAUUAUCCUGUUCUACCUUGAGAGGCUACCAGAGUAUUAGCCUAUUCCCCUCCCCACUUCUUUUUUGUUUGUUAAUCAGUCUUUGCCUGAUUAAAGGCAACCAGGAAACAAGCGGACUGGAAGCAGUCUCAACAGAGGGCCAGAACCAGGCCCUGCACACUGCCUUCGGCUAGGCUAGAGAUCCCUUCUGCCUGGUAAGCCCUAUGCAGAAGAGAGAAGCCAAAAGAGAUUGUCACCUAGUUUUGUUUGAGGGGGAUGCCAAACAUGGAUUAGGACAUGGUGUCAUGUUAGGAGGCUGGCUAUCCCCAAGAGGACACCCCUUAGGGCAAUAUCUCCCAGUCUUGUUAUUCCUGCUAGCUAACAGUGGAUAAAAAUGAGGCCAUUGGCCCUGAAGUUACCUCUGGUAUUUGGGAACAGGAAGAAGAGACCAGAUUCCUUCCGCAGAUACCUCCAUCAUCAAGCCAGGCAGUGACAGCAUGACAAAGGGGACAGUGUUUUAUUUGCUUUGUGUGUUUGGGGUAACUAAGUGCUGGCCCCAUGAGGCCUGACCAGUGGGACUUUGCUAACUGUGAGGAGGCAGCCUGGAUAUAUCACAGCAAGAAGACGGUUUCCACAGGGCACGAAGCUGGAGGAUGUUAUCUCUGUCACUGUUCACGAGGCAGCGGUGAGAUAGGCACCAUUACUUCCAUGGGUGCUCACAAGGACACUGAGGCUGGGAGAACCCAGUGACUAACUCAAACCCCAUGACCAUGUGCUGGCAGCCUAAAACCCAGCCAGGGCUUUCCAACUCUGACUGUGCUUUGCAUUCAGUAAGCCCUGAUUUUUAGUUUCCCCCACCAGUACGACUAUACCAAUCCCCGCCUGCCAGCUCUCUCCACAGCCAGCCCACAGGGGUCAUCUCCUUGGCAGCUGAGGCAGACAGAAGGGGCCAGACACUCAGCCAGGGCCUGGAGCCCACUGGCCCCGGGGCCCCAC